GAAGAUGCGCAACGCACGUGUUCGGUGACUCGGGUAGGCCAUAACGGAGGUUUUUUGAGGGUUCGAUCGCGUAAAUAUGUAAAUGUGUCGUUAAACCCGCCACCACCCGACACAGCCAAUUAGUGAAGGUGUGUCACGUAAACAGAACGUGGCCAAUUCGUUACUAGUACAGCACACCGGUGUGUUGGAGAGCAAAGCCACAAUCUGAGUACGACGUUUCGCCAGAAAUUACAACUAGCUUCAUCAGGCGUCAGCCAGAUUUUCGGUGGCUGGUUUAACGACACAUUUAUGCGAUCUAACCCCAAAACAAAAGAAACCCGUAUGAUGGAUGAUAUUGGUCGCGAAAGCCUACUCCGUGUUAAACCCGGGCAGACCAUCUCGACUUACGAGGAAGUACUUCCCAAGUGAACAGAGGACCCUUGCGUCAGAUGGUGACGGAGUGGCAGACAAUUGAAAUUGCGUCCGCCAGGAGGACGUACGCUGAGGAGAUGGAGUAAUGAAAUCGGCUCGUGUGCAGCUCUGGCGAAUUACUACAACGCAGGGAUGGCUGCGGCUUGGGAAAACCUUCAUCCAGCCGGUGGAUUGAUUCGUGGCCGAGCAUGAUGACAGCAGCGCCAUCGCCGCACGUGAUGAGCACGGGUGAAGAGAGCGCGUCGAGGAGGUGCCGUAGGUGCAGCAGGGCGGAGGAACUGGGUCAAGGGUCACGGUAGACCUCGUGGGGAGGCCCCUGGAACCCUCUGGUGGGUUCUAGAAGGGAGGCGUGGCCAGGGCGGAGUCAAGCCGCGCCGAGGAGAAUAAAAGCAGCGGAGAGCGAGAGCUCCAGGCUGCCGGUUCCGGGAGUGGACUCGUCUCGUCGUCGUCGCCGCCACCUUCGCCCGAUCAUCGCGCAGCCGGACAGCGGUUGGCUGUCUCGGUCGACGCCGUCGGUGCAACACGGACGGGGUCGUGUCUGGGACGGGCCGUACGGCAGCGUGGUCGUGAGAGAGGAGGCCGGAGUUGGUGGUGUGAACGAGAGAUAAUAAAGAGAGACGGUGCCUCCUGCAACUACCUCGUUUCCGACUGAGUGUGCGCCGCACGCACACACACACGCCAGG